rnacentral:rRNA from 1 species
GUGAGGAAUAUUGGUCAAUGGGCGAGAGCCUGAACCAGCCAUGCCGCGUGCAGGAAGAAUGCCCUAUGGGUUGUAAACUGCUUUUAUUUGGGAAUAAACCUUUCUACGUGUAGAAAGCUGAAGGUACUAAAUGAAUAAGCACCGGCUAACUCCGUGCCAGCAGCCGCGGUAAUACGGAGGGUGCAAGCGUUAUCCGGAAUCAUUGGGUUUAAAGGGUCCGCAGGCGGAUUAAUAAGUCAGUGGUGAAAUCUCAUAGCUUAACUAUGAAACUGCCAUUGAUACUGUUAGUCUUGAAUAUGGUCGAUGUGGGCGGAAUAUGACAUGUAGCGGUGAAAUGCUUAGAUAUGUUAUAGAACACCGAUAGCGAAGGCAGCUCACAAGGCCAUUAUUGACGCUCAUGGACGAAAGCGUGGGGAGCAAACAGGAUUAGAAACCCGUGUAGUCC